rnacentral:lncRNA from 1 species
CACAGGUGCCGCCACCACACCUGGCUAAUUUUUGUAUUUUUAGUAGAGACAGGGUUUCACCAUGUUGGCCAGCCUGGUCUCGAACUCUGGGCCUCAGGUGAUCUACCCACCUCAGCUUCCCAAAGUGCUGAGAUUACAGGCAUGAGCCACCACACCCGGCCUGAAGACCUUGUCUUUUCUUUUCUUUUUUUUUUUUUUUGAAACGGAGUCUCACUCUGUCACCCAGGCUGGAGUGCAGUGGCACGAUCUCUGCUCACUGCAACCUCUGCUUCCCGGGUUCAAGUGAUUCUCCUGCCUCAGCCUCAUGAGUAGCUGGGAUUACAGGCACCCGCCACCACGCCCAGCUAAUUUUUUGUAAUUUUAGUAGAGACGGGGUUUCACCACGUUAAGCAGGAUGGUCUCGAUCUCCUGACCUUGUGAUCUGCCUGCCUCGGCCUCCCAAAGUGCUGGGAUUACAGGCCCGGCCCAAGCCCUUGUCUUUUUUUUGUUUUGUUUUUAGCCUGGAGGGCAGUGGCGCGAUCUCGGCUUACUGCAAGCUCUGCCUCCCAGGUUCACGCCAUUCUCCUGCCUUAGCCUCCCGAGUAGCUGGGACUACAGGUGCCCGCCACUACGCCCAGCUAAUUUUUUAUAUUGUUUUAGUAGAGAUGGGGUUUCACUGUGUUAGUCAGGAUGGUCUCGAUCUCCUGACCUCGUGAUCCGGCUGCCUCGGCCUCCCAGAAUGCUGGGAUUACAAGCGUGAGUCACCCACCGCGCCCGGCCCCAAGCCCUUGUCUUUUAAUGGGUCAAUUGCAUCAUCCUCACCUAUGAAUGACAGCACUGGAAAUGGUGACUCCAUGGGUAAAUACAUGGUUUUAUUUUUCCUUUUCUUUUCUUUUUUUUGAGAUGGUGUCUCUCUAUGUUGCCUAGCCUGGUCUCGAACUCCUGGGCUCAAGUGAUCCUCCUGCCUCAGCCUCCCAAAGUGCUAAGAUUACUGGUGUGAGCCACCAUGCCGGUCCAGCAAUCCAUGGUUCCAUAUAGGUGAAUAGGAAGACUUUCUUUCUUAUUAUUUAGAUAUCUUUGAAAGAUAAUCAGUAGUUUAAAGCAAAAUUAGCUCCAUACUAAAUAUUCAUACUAGCUAUUUUAAUUUUUAUAAUUAUACUAUUGAAGUGGAUACUCUUAUGCAGACUUUACAAAUGAACAAACUGAAGUUUAGAGAUUCUAAAUAUUCUAAAUAAAUAGGUCAUAUAGGCAUAUCAUUAUACUGUCUAUUGCUCAAUGCCCUUGACAGUGCACAGUUCCUUGGCUAAAAGUAUGUGGAAGCAGGGAAAAAUGAAUCCAGCAAUUACUAUAUUUAGCUGCUUUUACAAAUGCCUCUUGGUUAAAAAAAAAAAAAAAAAGACAUUCAUUGGUAGACAUUACCACAUUGCCAAGUCACUCAUAAAUCUAAGUACGAAAGUCAGUAAAAAAGGAUGAUGUUAUCUGAUUCACUGAAAGGGAAAUAAGCUGAGAUCUGCUGCGUUAGGACAAAGGCCAGCUGGGCUUUAUGAGAAUUCAGAUGGCAAGGAACAAGCUUUUUAUGGCAAUGACAGAGGGAGAAGGGAACAAUAUUAUAAGGAAGAAUCUUUGUGGUUCAAACAGAUUAUGUGGUUUAUUAUUUUCAUUUAGAUUAGGGAAAAAAUCAGUGGGCACAGAAUAAAUAGCAACUGCCUCUUUCCCCCUCCCCAGCAAGCAGAAUAUUGAUUUCCUCUUUGAGGAAAGGACACAUUAAAAAGAAUACUCUUGAGAUGAUAAAUAUGCUAAUUAAUGUGAUCUAAUCCCUAUACAUUAUGUAUAUGGAAACACCACUAUGUACCCCAUGAAUGUGUACAAUUAUUGUCAAUUUAAAAAUACAAUUUUAAAAACACUCAUUUUAUUUUUUUAAAUUAAUUGUUCUUAUUUUAAAAAUUAUUAUUUUUUAGGGAUGGGAUCUCACUGCAUUGCUCAGGCUGGUCUCAAACUCCUGGGCUCAAGCAAUCUUCCUGCCUUAGCUUCCCAAAGUUCUGGGAUUACAGGCAUGAGCCACCACUCCCAGCCAAAAAAAAAAAUACUCAUUUAAAGCUGCACAAGUUUGAUGGCACAAGUCUGUAUAACUGGACCUGUGCCUUUAUAAAACCUCAAACACUGCAAAGGUUCAUGAAACAAUGUAUAUCUAUUCUUCUUAUUCACUGUCAUCAAUGCUGACCAGGGAAAAUUGCACAGGUGCACGUGUGUGUGUGUGUGUGUAGGGCUAGUGAAGCAGGCAACUACCAGAGAUACAUUAUUAAAAAGCUAACAUUUAUUGGCCAGGCGCGGUGGCUUACGUCUGUAAUCCCAGCACUCUCACGGGUGGUGCCUCCCCGGCAAUGGGGGUCCCAAGAUCCAGGGGGGGAAAAGGGGAUGGCUCUCAGCCACCACAAAAUGGGGGGCCUUUAUGUUCAGGUUUUGCCCAAGAGUCAGCUUAUUUGCUUCUUGUACUAGCAGGGCAGUUGCUGCCAAGGCCUCAAACAGGGGAGCCAUCCUUCAGAAACCCUGUCUAGUUGUUCAGAGACGUAGGCCACCGGCCUCAGCCAGGGCCCCACAGUUUGGGUUAAAAGUCCAGCUGCCAUCUUUUCUCUCUCUAACGCAUACAAUGGAAAAGGCUUUGUCAGAUCGGGUAGCCCCAGGGCUGGGGCUGCCAGAAGUUUUUCCUUUAAGUCAUGAAAGACUUGCUGUUCUUGGAUCCCCAUUCCAAAGGUUCCGGUCCCCGCCCCCUUUGUGACCUCAUACAAAGGCUUGGCUAAUACUGCAAAGUUUGGGAUCCACAGUCUACAAAACCCCACAUCCCCUGAGAAUUCUCUCGCCUGCCUUAGGCACUUAGGCUCCGGGAGAUUGCAAAUAACCUGCUUUCUUUCUGUUCCCGGGCUGCGUUCGGACUCCUGUCAGAUAGUAAAUCCUAAGUGGCGUCGGACCCCUGUCAGAGAGUAAAUCUCAAGUAAGGUACCUGCCAUCGGCAGAUUUGAGCUUUCUUCUUGGACACCUAAUACCCACAGUCCUCCAGGCUCCGGUAGACUGCAAAUGACCUGCUUUCUUUCUGUUCCCGGGCUGCGUUUGGACCCCUGUCGGAUAGUAAAUCCCAAGUAAGGUACCUGCCCUCGGCAGAUUUGAGCUUUCUUCUUGGACACCUAAUACCCACAGUCCCCCAGGCUCCGGUAGACUGCAAAUGACCUGCUUUCUUUCUGUUCCCGGGCUGCGUUUGGACCCCUGUCGGACAGUAAAUCCCAAGUAAGGUACCUGCCCUCGGCAGAUUUGAGCUUUCUUCUUGGACACCUAAUACCCACAGUCCUCCAGGAAUGGAACAGAUAAGAAGAUACUGAAAUUGGACGGUGCUGCCGUGCGGCUGCCGCAGGACACCUUUAAUAUCCCUGUUUCUCAGGCUGUAGAUGAAGGGGUUCAGCAUGGAGGUGAUCACCGUGUACAUCACUGAGGCCACUGCAGCCUUUCUCGGGGAAGAUGACACAUCUGAACUGAGGUACCCUCCAAAGCCUGUUCCGUAAAAUCAGCAAACAACUGACAGGAUAACUUCAGGAAGUGGGUAUUAAUUCUCACGGUAUAAGUGAAGACAUUAAGCACCAGAGUUUAAGUAGCUUGAUCCACUGAAAGAGAUUCAACUGUGUGGAACCUAUGCCGUGGAGAAUUGCUUUCUGCCAUUGUUAUCGUCCAGCAGUUGCCGAAUAGCUCUGACCUGAGCAAAGCAGUGAAACGCGGUGCUGUUGAGUGGGUUGCCACUGCACCUUUUUCAACUACUCUAGUCUUGUGGAGAAAAUACCCCUUCUAAAUUUUUUCUUCAUUGAAUACUCUCCCUCAGCUCCAGAGUACCAUAUAGAGUUUUCUUGUAUUUUAGAGUUACUGUUUUAUCAAAGUUUACCAGU